GGGCGAUUAGCUCAGUCGGUUAGAGCAGCUGGCUCAUAAUCAGCGGGUCACAGGUUCGAGUCCUGUAUCGCCCA
rnacentral:tRNA from 1 species